rnacentral:rRNA from 1 species
GGCCGGUGUGUAAGCGCAGCGAUGCGUUGAGCUUACCGGUACUAAUGACCCGUGAGGCUUAACCUUACAACGCCAGAGGCGUUUGG